rnacentral:rRNA from 1 species
GACGAACGCUGGCGGCGUGCUUAACACAUGCAAGUCACGGGGGUCCCGUAGCAAUACGGGAUAACCGGCGAACGGGUGCGUAACACGUGAGCAACCUGCCGUACUCAGGGGGAUAGCCGGCCCAACGGCCGGGUAAUACCGCAUACGAUUCUUCGGGGGAGUCCCCGGGGAAGGAAACCUCUGGGGGAGUACGAGGGGCUCGCGGCCUAUCAGCUAGUUGGUGCGGUAACGGCGCACCAAGGCGACGACGGGUAGCGGUCUGAGAGGAUGGCCAGCCACAUUGGGACUGAGAGACGGCCCAGACUCCUACGGGAGGCAGCAGUGGGGAAUCUUGCGCAAUGGCCGAAAGGCUGACGCAGCGACGCCGCGUGGGGGAUGAAGCAUUUCGGUGUGUAAACCCCUGUUGCCCGGGACGAACAGCGCUUUUCGAGGCGCCUGACGGUACCGGGUGAGGAAGCACCGGCUAACUCCGUGCCAGCCGCCGCGGU